GGUGGAAGCUGAAUUAGUGAGGAUGACUCCUGCUCCUGUCAUCUCUAAGCUCCUCACACAUCUUUACCUGCACAUGAGGAAAAUCACUCCCGUAGAAUGCAGAUGUUCAGAGGGAGAUGAUGCAACAUCUGGUCCAGCUGAUGGAAGGUCUUGAAGUUCUCUGACUGGCCUCGACUGAAGAUGGUCGUCUCACUGGAUUUAAGGUUCAGAUGCUCAGUAACAGGGCUGCACAGUGGCGUAGUGGUUAGCACUUUCGCCUUGCAGCAAGAAGGUCCCUGGUUCGCGUCCCGGCUUUCCCGGGAUCUUUCUGCAUGGAGUUUGCAUGUUCUCCCUGUGCAUGCGUGGGUUCUCUCCGGGUACUCCGGCUUCCUCCCACAGUCCAAAAAUAUGCUGAGGUUAAUUGAUUAUUCUAAAUUGCCCGUAGGUGUGAAUGUGAGAGUGCUUGUUUGUCUUUGUGUGUGGCCCUGUGACAGACUGGCGACCUGUCUAGGGUGUCCCCUGCCUUCGCCCGAGUCAGCUGGGAUAGGCUCCAGCCCCCCCCCGCGACCCUAGUGAGGAUUAAGCGGUGUAUAGAUAAUGGAUGGAUGGAUGCUCAGUAACAAACUCCACCAAUGAGCCAACAGGGAAGCUUUAGGUUUAUUAAAUGUUGCUAUGAAGGUUUCGCUGUUUUUCUUAGUGAAUGCAAUGAGCUCCAACUGAAACUUGAAUUAGAACUUAGAAGUAAAUCCUUCCAUCUGAAAGGAUUUAGUUGCAUUAGUAACCUCAUAACAUUCUAAUUUUUAUUCCAGUCUUGGUUGGAAAUAGAAUCUCUGUAUUGAUUCAGGUAAAAACUGAACUUCACAGCAUGUUGGAGCAAAACAACCAGAUGAAAACUGUGAUGGUGUUGGAUUGUCAGACUGUAAUGUUGCAGCUCAAAGCAGCUAUUCUAGCUCAGUUCAUUCUGACAUUCAGCUAUGAAUCAACACAGCAGAUGGUGAUCCAUGCUGUGGAAGUCUCACAUCUCCUGAUUUAAUGGAGCUGCUUUGCACUUUUUACACUGUUUAUUCACCAACACUUUAUUUAAUAAAAGUCCCAUCUAGUUUUUAUGAGGAAUGUGAUGUUUUAAUUUCUCUGUGAAUAACUGCAGUCUAAUGCAACAGCUGGAGUUGUAACAUCUGUCCUGAUAUUGAUCAUGAAGUAUUGAUCAGAAUACUUAUGGUCAGCAGUCAUCCCUGAAGUUUUACAUUAAAAUCUUUACUUGUGUUGUGAACUUUGGUAAGAAGCAGAAACAUUAGCGUUGCCAUGGAUACAUGAGUGUUAAAUUCUGUCCAUGUUUCCAUUUUGGGAAAUGCAGUCCAGAUGAGUUUGUUUUUACUGCCAGCUACCAUUCAGUCUGAGAUAUUAAGAAUAAAUAAAUGUGCAUAAUGUGGAAAUGAACAGAUUUGAUUUUUAUUUAUUCCUACAGUUGCUGCAUGUAAAGUUCCAAAAUGUGGACGAAUUUAGUCUCACAAUGACAGACAAUAAAUAUUAUCUGAAAGUCAGGUUAUUGUUGUUUAUCAGCACAAUACAAAAAGAUUCUUGUUAGAAAUAUUCCAGUUAAGACUCUAGAAUAUCAUGAUUUAUGUAAAUUUACCUCAAUAACAUGAAUGUUCAGGUUAAGAUUGUGCAGUGAUAUUUAUUAUGUAAGUUUAGCUGAUUAUAGUUUAUGACUCUGCACUACAAUAUUAUUAUUUAAAUAUUAUUUAUUUAAAUUUGCAUCAUUAUUAUAAUAUUUAGGGUCAGACCCUACAGUAUUGAGAUUAAGAAAUCAAAUAUUCUAUAAAAUGUAAAUACACUGAAUUCAUUUAGAUAUAUUUAAGUGAGACUCUACAAUAUUAUUUGACACAAAUCUAUCUAAAUCAAAAUUUUAAUAAUUUUCACGCCAAACAUUUACUGGACUGAUUUCAAUAUUAAAAUCAUUCCUUUCUAAUCCUCUGCUGUACGUUCAAACCUGAGGCCUUAAAUAGAAACACACAAGUAUCUGAUUGAAGGAACUUCUGCAGAGUCCUGGUUCCAGAACAUGAUCAUAGAAUUAUAGACAAACUUUAACAAAAGCUGCCUGAGAGUUUACAGGUUUUUAUGUUGGAUUUCUUCAGUAAUUUAAUGAGUUAUCAGCAAAAAUCAAGUGUUCAUUUGAUGAACUUCAUUUCCUAAAACAUCCAGAAUUGGAGCUCAUAUCUUUGGCAGCUGUAAAGUUUCUGCUCCUUCAAAGUUCACAACACAAUGAAUGAAUUCCUAAAACACUCUCAAUGCUGGAGAGCGUUUGAUGCUGAAGCAGUGAUCAGUUUUUCUGUUUGUUCUCUGGAGAUGCACAAUGAGGGACGUCUGCAGAGACUGAGAAAGAGUCUCACCACAUCCUGACAUGAGGAAAAAGACUUUAUUGAAGACUAGAAUGAGAAAAACUAUCAGACAGCAGACGGCUGCAUUCAAGAGAGGAAGACCAUCAAACAUCCACAUCAGCUGAUGGAGGUCCAAGAGUCUCACCCAACAACCAACCUACAGAGUGAAGACCUCAAAUCUGAUUGGACGGCCUCCUAUUCAGCCACGUGUGAACAAAUGCCUCUAAGCUGAUUUGUUUUCUAAAAUAAAUCUAGUUUGAGUCCUAA